UGGGGAAUCUUCCGCAAUGGACGAAAGUCUGACGGAGCAACGCCGCGUGAGUGAAGAAGGUCUUCGGAUUGUAAAGCUCUGUUAUACGGGACGAAAAAGACGGAUGCCAACAGUAUCUGUCCGUGACGGUACCGUAAGAGAAAGCCACGGCUAACUACGUGCCAGCAGCCGCGGUAAUACGUAGGUGGCAAGCGUUGUCCGGAAUUAUUGGGCGUAAAGGGCGCGCAGGCGGUUCGGUAAGUCUGUCUUAAAAGUGCGGGGCUUAACCCCGUGAGGGGACGGAAACUGUCGAACUUGAGUGUCGGAGAGGAAAGCGGAAUUCCUAGUGUAGCGGUGAAAUGCGUAGAUAUUAGGAGGAACACCGGUGGCGAAAGCGGCUUUCUGGACGACAACUGACGCUGAGGCGCGAAAGCGUGGGGAGCAAACAGG
rnacentral:rRNA from 1 species